UACAGAGGUGGCAAGCGUUGUUCGGAAUUACUGGGCGUAAAGGGCGCGUAGGCGGUCUUGUAAGUCUUGUGUGAAAUCCCUCGGCUUAACUGAGGAACUGCACGGGAUACUGCGAGACUUGAGUUCGGGAGAGGGAAGCGGAAUUCCGGGUGUAGCGGUGAAAUGCGUAGAUAUCCGGAGGAACACCGGUGGCGAAGGCGGCUUCCUGGACCGAUUACUGACGCUGAGGCGCGAAAGCUAGGGGAGCAGACGGG
rnacentral:rRNA from 1 species